rnacentral:lncRNA from 1 species
GCGUCAAGACACAAAACCUUUUCCUUUAAGGGAUUUGCUCACCCAGGAGGAGAUUUGAUGGUACUUACGGACUGGGGCUUCACUCCGCAUCUGCCUCUCCGUGAGAGCCUGUCUCCCCAGGCUGGCUGGUCCUCAGGACACAGGUGCUGCUGUUGUGGCUGCGUGCAUCCUAUGUGUGGCGACUCCACCUUCCAGCUAAAAUCCCAGCAAAGGGUCUCAUCCGGAGGCCCCGGGGCACACUUCUUUCAUCCGUGUGCCUUCCCUCGUUCUCUCGGGGUCCAGAGCAGCGAGGAAGGAAUGAAGAACCUGGGUCUGCCACCGUCUGUCGGUCCUCACCGCUGCAUCUCAGCUAAGGCUGCAGAAGUCAGUGCAGUAGCGGAACUGGCUAGGGCUCCUCGCGGUUGCCACGGUAACCAGGAGCAGGCUCCUGCCCUGGUGGCGGAGGAAGGCUGUGGAGAAAAGUCUACACACAUAGGAGCAUCUUAAGGGUUAGAAAUUCCAGCACUAUGCAAGGCUUCCUGCCCCAGAGGAUCCUGCUGCACACAGAGCGGAAUGUUUGCUAGGCUCGCUCUUGAAAACAGAACUCCCAGCGGGACAGCUGCGGGUGAGCUGGAGGAGCCAGCAAAGGGACCAAGCAAGGGAUGAUGAUGAGUGGGUCACAUCCUCUCUGAUCUGUAAGAUGAAAGACACAUAGAUGUCUUAGGAAAAGCUUAUCAAACUAAGUUGUUCUUGUUACUACUAUGAUCAUGAUGGUGGUGAAUGUAGACUAUGGUCCCCAAAUACGCAGUCCCAAAGGCCAUAAUCCUAAGUGAUAAAAUAGCUCUAAAUUCUAAAGCCCCGAAAGAGUAACACCUUAACAAUGUCAUUAUUCUGGAAAAUUAUUCGAUUUCUUUUUCUUCUCUCUGAUUUAAAAGGCAAGGGUCUCAUCAAAUACACAAGGCUGGCUUUGAACUUGCUGUGUAUUAAUAGUCAAGGGUGGCUUCGAACACUUGACCCUCAAACAAACAAAAACAACAAUAAAAUACUAGGGAGAAAAAAUUCA